UGACUGAUAGCUCAGUCAGUAGAGCAUGAGACUCUUAAUCUUAGGGUCGUGGGUUCAAACCCCACAUUGGGCAA
rnacentral:tRNA from 1 species